AUUGAGCGCUGGCGGCAUGCUUUACACAUGCGAGUCGAACGGCAGCGCGGGCUUCGGCCUGGCGGCGAGUGGCGAACGGGUGAGUAAUACAUCGGAACGUGCCCAGUAGUGGGGGAUAGCUCGGCGAAAGCCGGAUUAAUACCGCAUACGACCUGAGGGUGAAAGCGGGGGAUCUUCGGACCUCGCGCUAUUGGAGCGGCCGAUGGCAGAUUAGCUAGUUGGUAGGGUAAAGGCCUACCAAGGCGACGAUCUGUAGCUGGUCUGAGAGGACGACCAGCCACACUGGGACUGAGACACGGCCCAGACUCCUACGGGAGGCAGCAGUGGGGAAUUUUGGACAAUGGGCGAAAGCCUGAUCCAGCAAUGCCGCGUGUGUGAUGAAGGCCUUCGGGUUGUAAAGCACUUUUGGCGGGAACGAAAAGGACUGUGCCAAUACCACGGUUCGAUGACGGUACCCGCAGAAUAAGCACCGGCUAACUACGUG
rnacentral:rRNA from 1 species